rnacentral:rRNA from 1 species
UCCUGGCUCAGGAUGAACGCUAGCUACAGGCUUAACACAUGCAAGUCGAGGGUAGCAGGGUAGCAAUACCGCUGACGACCGGCGCACGGGUGAGUAACACGUAUCCAACCUUCCCAUAACUCAGGGAUAGCCUUUCGAAAGAAAGAUUAAUACCUGAUAGUACUUUUUCAAGGCAUCUUGAGAAAGUUAAAGAUUUAUUGGUUAUGGAUGGGGAUGCGUUCCAUUAGAUAGUUGGUGAGGUAACGGCUCACCAAGUCUUCGAUGGAUAGGGGUUCUGAGAGGAAGGUCCCCCACAUUGGUACUGAGACACGGACCAAACUCCUACGGGAGGCAGCAGCGAGGAAUAUUGGUCAAUGGGCGAGAGCCUGAACCAGCCAAGUAGCGUGAAGGAUGAAGGUCCUAUGGAUUGUAAACUUCUUUUAUAGUAGAAUAAAGUGAGCCACGUGUGGUUUUUUGUAUGUAUACUAUGAAUAAGGAUCGGCUAACUCCGUGCCAGCAGCAGC